rnacentral:lncRNA from 1 species
GGGAACACCUAGGGCAGGGCUUGGGGAGGCAAGAAAGAAACCGAGUCAUUCUGCCAGGCCUUGAGUAAUGAGGUCUUGAGGGACACACAGGCAUUUUCUAGCCUCGAAAGUCGAAGCACAACAUUCCGGGCAUGGCUGAGGACCUAAAUAGCAGAGUUGAUGUAUGUUUGGAGCCCCUCCAUGAGUCUUGCUUAAACUACAGUUGUAGGUGCGACCCAUCAUGGUUUCUGUAUGUGUUUUUCUAGCAAGACAAAUGCCGGGAACUGAUUGGCUUGUGUUUUAUCUCGCAUUGCCUUGGGAAAUGAGCCUACUGUGUGGUCUAAGAUACAGGAAAAGAAAUGAUGGGGAUCAAGGCCAUCAAGCUACAGAUGUUCCUACGAAUGGAACCCCAAAUGAGCUCAACUCACAACUUCUACCAAGAACCCCUGGACCAACCCACUGGCCCUUUGACUGGCCUAGAGAGUUCCCCUCUGGAGGACACUACAACUGCAGGGCCCCUUCUUCAUCCCUAUCCAGCAGAAAGUAGCUAGAGCAGUCAUCACCCAAUUCCCAACAGCAGUUGGGGUGUCCUGUUUAGAGGGGGGAUUGAGAGGUGAAGCCAGCUGGACUUCCUGGGUCAAGUGGGGGCUUGGAGAUCUUUUCUGUCUUAGAAGGAGAUUGUAAAAGUCACCAAUCAGUGCUCUGUAAAAAUGCACCAAUCAGUGCUCUGUAACUAGCAAGAGAAUUGAAAAAUGCACAAUCAGCGCUCUGUAAAAUGCACCAAACAUCAGGAUCCCAAAAGUAGCCAAUCUCAGGGAGGAUUGAAAAAAGGGCACUCUGACAGGACAAAAACAGAACAUAGGAGGGGACAAAUAAGGGAAUAAAAGCUGGCUACCCCAGCCAGCAGAGGCAACCUGCUUGCAUCCCCUUCCACACUGUGGAAGCUUUGUUCUUUCGCUCUUCACAAUAAACCUUGCUACUGCUCACUCUUUGGGCCCGUGCCACCUUUAAGAGCUGUAACACUCACUGCAAAGGUCUGCGGCUUCAUUCUUCAUUCACUGGAAGCAACCAACUUGGGACACACCACCAUGCCUGGUUAAUUUUUUGUAUUUUCAGUAGAGGUGGGGUUUCACUGUGUUAGCCAGGAUUGUCUUGAUCUCCUGACCUCAUGAUCUGCCUGCCUCUGCCUCCCAAAGUGCUGGGAUUACAGGCGUGAGCCGCUAUGCCCGGUGAACACAUACAUUUUCAACAGAAGAGCAAGAGAGCAUAGAACCCAGAAUAGCAGAGGCAUAUAGGCCCCGUUUUGCAGGAGUCAAAUAACUUAAUUCUUAGCACAAUCCUGUAAGAUGAAUUCUGUUAUAAUCCCACUCUCUAGAUAAAGAAUUCAAGGCACCAAGAGUUUAGUUCAUGAGCAGUAAGAGAUUUGGGCCCAAGUGGUUUUGUGUCAAAGCUUAUGCUUGGCAUAAUUUUUUGAUAGAGAGCCAGAUGGUAAAUAUUUUGGAAUAUUAGUGUUCAAAUAGUCUGUGUCACAACUAGUGCCUCUGCUGUUGUAACAUAAAAGCAGCCAUAGCCAAUGUAUAAAAGAAUAGCUGUCAACUUAAAUGCCCAUCAAUGAUAGAUUGGAUAAAGACGAUGUGGUACAUAUACACUAUGGCAUACUAUGCAGCCAUGAAAAACAAUGAGAUCAUAUCCUGUGCAGGAACAUGGAUGGAACUGGAGGUCCUUAUCCUUAGCAAACAAACACAAGAACAGAAAACCAAAUAUUGCAUGUUUUCACUUAUAAGCAGGAGCUAAAUGAUGAGAACACAUGGAUACAUAGAGGGGAACAGCACACACUUGGGCCUAUUGGAGGGUGGAGGGUGGGAGUGGGGAGAGGAUCAGGAAAAAUAACUAAUGGGUAGUAAGCUUAGUACCUGGGUGAUAAAAUAAUCUGUAUAACAAACCCCUAUGACACAUGUAUACCUAUGUAACAAAGUGGCACAUGUAACCCUGAACUUAAAAGUUAAGAAAAAAGAAUGGGUUAUGUAUGUGUUCUAAUAAAACUUUACUUGUAAAAACUGGUGAAGGCCAGAAUCUGGGUUGUCACAUGGGGCAGGAAGAGAUGAGGACUGAGGAAAAGAGGAAGAAGUCAAGACAGAGGAAUAAGGGAG